UGAACGCUAGCGGCAGGCUUAAUACAUGCAAGUCGAACGGCAGCAUCACCUUCGGGUGGAUGGCGAGUGGCGCACGGGUGAGUAACGCGUACAGAAUCUGCCCUUAACUGGGGGAAAGUCGCUGGAAACGGCGAAUAAUCCCGCAUAAGACCACAGUAUCACAUGUUACAGGGGUCAAAGCUUCGGCGGUUAAGGAUGAUUGUGCGUCCCAUUAGCUAGAUGGUAAGGUAACGGCUUACCAUGGCGACGAUGGGUAGGGGGCGUGAGAGCGUGGACCCCCACACGGGUACUGAGACACGGACCCGACUCCUACGGGAGGCAGCAGUAAGGAAUAUUGGUCAAUGGAGGAAACUCUGAACCAGCCAUGCCGCGUGUGUGAUGAAGGCCCUACGGGUUGUAAAGCACUUUUAUCUAGGAAGAAUGACAGGGAUUUAUCCUUGGAGAGACAGUACUAGAUGAAUAAGCACCGGCUAACUCC
rnacentral:rRNA from 1 species